ACAUUCAAUAUUUUCCCGCCA
rnacentral:snRNA from 1 species